rnacentral:rRNA from 1 species
CGGAGGGUGCAAGCGUUAAUCGGAAUUACUGGGCGUAAAGGGUUCGUAGGUGGUUUAUUAAGUUAUUUGUAAAAUCCCUGGGCUUAACCUGGGCAGGUCAGAUAAUACUGGUAGACUCGAGUAUGGGAGAGGGUAGUGGAAUUUCCGGUGCAGCGGUGAAAUGCGUAGAGAUCGGAAGGAACACCAGUGGCGAAGGCGGCUACCUGGCCUAAUACUGACACUGAGGAACGAAAGCGUGGGGAGCAAACAGGAUUAGAUACUCUGGUAGUCCACGCCGUAAACGAUGUCAACUAGCUGUUGGUCAUAUUGAUAUGAUUAGUGGCGCAGCAAACGCGAUAAGUUGACCGCCUGGGGAGUACGGUCGCAAGAUUA